GUUCACUUAGCCUUUCUUCAGAGGGGAGAUGCUCCAGGCCCUUCACCAUCUUUGUGGCUCUCCGCUGGACUCUUUCCAAGAGAUCCCUGUCUUUUUUGUACUGAGGAGCCCAGAACUGGACACAGUACUCCAGAUGAGGCCUUACCAGGGCAGAGUAGAGGGGGAGGAUCACCUCCCUCGACCUGCUGGCCACGCUCUUUUUAAUGCACCCCAGAAUGCCAUUGGCCUUUUUGGCCACAAGGGCACACUGCUGGCUCAUGGCCAACCUGUCGUCCACCAGGACAUCCAGGUCCCUCUCUGCACAGCUCCUCUCCAGCAGGUCAUCCCCCAACCUGUAUCGAUGCAUGGAAUUAUUCCUCCCUAGGUGCAAGACUCUACACUUGCUUUUGUUAAACCUUAUCUGGUUUCUUACUGCCCAGCUCUCCAGCCUGUCCAUGUUUCGCUGAAUGGCAGCGGAGCCUUCAGGUGUGUCAGCCAAUCCUCCCAACUUCGUAUCAUCAGCAAACUUGCUGAGGGUGGCCACUAUCCCCUCAUCAAGAUCAUUGAUGAAGAUGUUGAACAAGACUGGACCCAGCACCGACCCCUGAGGAACACCACUAGUUACAGGUCUCCAACCAGACUCUGCACCGCCAAUGACAACCCUCUGUGCUCUGCCAGUCAGCCAGUUCUCAACCCCCCUCACUGUCCACUCAUUUAUCCCUCACUUCCUCAGCUUUGUUAUAAGGAUGUCGUGGGAGACAGUAUCAAAUGCCUUGCUGAAAUCAAGGUAGACUACAUCCACUGCUCUCCCCCCAUCCACCCAGCCAGAGACAACAUCAUAGAAGGCUACCAGGUUGGUCAAGCACGACCUCCCCCUGGUGAACCCGUGCUGACUACUCCUGAUAACCUCCUUUUCUUCCAGUUGUCUGGAGAUGGCAUCCAGCACAAUCUGUUCCAUCACCUUUCCAGGGACAGAGGUGAGGCUGACUGGCCUGUAAUUACCUGGAUCUUCCUUCUUGCCCUUUUUGAAGACUGGAGUGACAUUGGCUAUUGUCCAGUCUUCAGGCACCUCCCCCGUUCUCCAAGACCUCUCAAAGAUGGCAGAGAGCGGUUCAGCAAUCACCUCUUCCAGUUCCCUCAGCACCCGUGGAUGCAUCCC
rnacentral:lncRNA from 1 species